GAGCCUGCCGGGAUUGUGGCGGUCGGUCUCUCGAGUCGGAAGCUGGAGCUGUCCCGGGACUCCCGAUAUGGCGACUUCUCUAGGUUCCAACACCUACAACAGGCAGAACUGGGAAGACGCGGACUUCCCCAUUCUGUGUCAGACGUGUCUUGGAGAAAACCCUUAUAUACGAAUGACCAAAGAAAAAUAUGGAAAAGAAUGUAAAAUCUGUGCCAGGCCAUUCACAGUGUUUCGCUGGUGCCCUGGCGUCCGCAUGCGUUUCAAGAAGACUGAAGUGUGCCAGACCUGCAGUAAAUUGAAGAAUGUUUGUCAGACCUGCCUGUUAGACCUAGAGUAUGGCCUACCCAUCCAGGUUCGUGAUGCAGGAUUGUCAUUUAAAGAUGACAUGCCUAAAUCAGAUGUCAAUAAAGAAUAUUACACCCAAAAUAUGGAAAGAGAAAUUUCUAAUUCUGAUGGAACACGACCGGUUGGAAUGCUAGGAAAAGCUACAUCCACCAGUGACAUGCUACUCAAAUUGGCCCGGACCACACCAUACUACAAAAGGAAUCGGCCCCACAUUUGUUCCUUCUGGGUGAAAGGAGAGUGUAAGCGAGGAGAGGAGUGCCCAUACAGACACGAGAAGCCCACCGAUCCAGAUGACCCUCUUGCUGAUCAGAACAUAAAAGACCGGUACUAUGGAAUUAAUGACCCUGUGGCUGAUAAGCUUCUAAAGAGGGCUUCGACCAUGCCUCGUCUUGACCCACCAGAGGAUAAGACGAUCACCACACUGUAUGUGGGUGGUCUGGGAGACACCAUUACUGAAACAGAUCUCAGAAAUCAUUUCUACCAGUUCGGAGAGAUCCGCACAAUCACUGUUGUGCAGAGGCAGCAGUGUGCCUUCAUCCAGUUCGCCACCAGGCAGGCUGCUGAGGUAGCCGCUGAGAAGUCAUUUAACAAGCUCAUCGUGAAUGGCCGAAGACUCAAUGUCAAAUGGGGAAGAUCCCAAGCAGCCAGAGGAAAAGAAAAAGAGAAGGAUGGAACCACAGACUCUGGGAUCAAGCUAGAACCUGUACCAGGACUGCCUGGAGCUCUGCCUCCACCUCCUGCAGCAGAAGAGGAGGCAUCUGCCAACUACUUCAACCUGCCCCCAAGUGGUCCUCCAGCAGUGGUGAACAUUGCCCUGCCCCCACCCCCUGGGAUUGCCCCACCGCCACCACCAGGUUUUGGACCACACAUGUUCCACCCAAUGGGACCACCCCCUCCUUUCAUGAGAGCUCCAGGACCAAUCCACUACCCUUCUCAGGACCCUCAGAGAAUGGGAGCUCAUGCUGGAAAACACAGCAGCCCCUAGCACAACACCGCCACUCAGGGGCUCUGAGGAAGAAAGGGCGCUCUAAAAUCCUAGAAAAUGAAUCCUGGGAUAAGUAUAAUUUCCCUUGCUUUGUAGUUUCCAUGGUAGCUGAAUGUGUUCAGAUGUGGGCAGAGAACACAGCUAUGCUUCCCCACAUGUAUUCAGAGGAUUGGCGGGCCUAAAACAAGCUGUCAUGAACAUAGCUGCUUACCACUAUAGCAGUACUAAGAGCCUUAUGUCUGAUCCCUUCCCACCCUGUGGAGAACACGCACAUGGGUGAACUGGAAUAACCAAUGGAGUCACCAUCAGUGUGUUCAUUUUGUAUCUUUUUGGGCGGGAGGCAAAAAUUGACCUGCGGUUUAAAAAAAAUAUUUUGACCAUUUUUAUGUCUAUUUGGUAUUUUCUUUUAUAUCAUCUAAAAAAAAUUUAGUACUAAUCAUUGUAGUGGCAUAAAAGUGAUUUAACUAAUUUGAAGUCAUACCCUCAGAGAGGGUACCUGAGAUGAAAUGGUUUUAAGGAACUUCCUGUGAAACACUUUGACAAACUAAAAGGAAGAGCCUUAGAGUCCAUUUGACUAAAAGACUAUCUGCCUGCCUGCAGCUGGAACUGGAUCGUCCGCAUUACCUGUGUCUUCAGCAGCUCACUCGCUGCCUCUGGGCAGGAGCCUGUUCAGUCUUAGAGUGUUUGGAUUUAACUGAACUGUAGAUGGAUCCAAACUUUUCCUUCUUGAAUAACAGCUCAUGUAGGGCGGUUACAUUACAGACCAGUGGUUUGCCUGCGGUCUGCAGGAAUGGAGGAGAUGCAGAGGAAAGGUGAAGAAGCAGAGGCUCAGUGUGAAGAGGCUUUCCCAAGUUCAUACCACUCAGAUAAACCAAACCCCAGCUAGCGGAAUGCCCCCUCACCCCACCCCCAUUAAGCCCUAAAUCACAAUUCCAGAGUGAGUGAGCAUCAGCUAGGGCAAUGGUUCCAUUUUGACGGGAGUCCCUGAUGGACCCUUGCUUCUUUAAUUCUGCUCCUUCUAGAGAUUGGAUAGCCACAUCUAUGGAACAGGGUAUGGAGAGAGCCUCCAAGACAUUGUCACACUUCGUUAUCAGCAGUCACAGCCCCAUCACUUGGGCUAGGAUCUCUUCAGACUGGAGGAUGGAAUAGUGUCUACAUGUUCCACUUUGUACCUGUUCUAUAAAGGACAUCACAGGCUGACAGCCCCCCACCCCCUUUUUAUCCCCUCCUGUUCCAGGCCUUGCCUCCUAUGGACUUCCUGAUGUCUGGCAUUUUUCCUAGGCACCACACAGCAAGUCAUGAGGCCAUUGCUAACUCCUUGCCCCUUGACCCAGUAGAGCCUCUGUCUCUACUACAGCCUCCCCUCUCUCCCCAAAACGCCACACUUCAACUCCCAGCUCAACACAUACCAAAAAUGGCCUUAUACCACACCCUCUUUUCUUGGUGGGCUCUCGUCCCUCCUCUAAGGUCUGGUUCAAGUCCUCUGGGAAGUUUCUGGAAUCCCACCAAUUCACUGAGGGUUCUUCUCUUCCAGUUCACUUUGCUCUCAGCUGUCAGUAUACAACUGCCUUACAAAUCGC